ACCGCUCUCGCUCUCUAAAAUGUGCGGUGCGCUUGAGGUAGCUCCACACGGAGCGCUGCGAUUGUGCUAUGCGCUCCCAGGAGCAAAGUUUCGCACCACAAGGAGCGCUGCAUGCAGGAGUGAUUCUUGCGAUACAACUACAUCGUUUUCCCGUGAGCUGUGCGGGAGCGCGCACAAUAAGAUGACCGGAGCGAUUGAAAUACCUCUUUCGCUCUUGACCCACUAGUAAUAGCCUUAGGAAAUUUUCAAAUUUUUUGAAUUUUUUUUAAUUUUUUCUAAUUUUUUAUUCUUUUUUUAAUUUAAAACAUUAUUUGAGUGAAAGAAACUUAUUGCAACCAAUUGGCAUUAAAAUAAAUCAAUUUAAAUUUUUUUGCAAAAUUUCUCAAAAAAAUGGCAAGGGGUACCCCUUAUGAAAUUUUCGAGUUGAAAAUUUUUUUAGAAUUUUUUUUCGAUUUUUUAUUCUUUUUUGUGUUUAAAGUAUAAUUUGAGUGAAAAGAAACUUAUUGCAAUAAAUUCGCAUUAAAAUAUAUCACAUUUAUAAAUUUUGCUAAAUUACUCAAAAAUGAAGAAAAUUUUACAUUUUCUCAAACAGGGUAUGGAACUUGGUUCCUCGAAUAAGUUUUGGCACAGACAUCUGAGGGCAUGGCCGUCCAAGAAGAAAAUGUAGCCAUUGGUGCCAUCUAUCGACCACAGGUUACAGAUUGGCGAUCCGUUGGAUACCGACCGAGUUAUAGGCAAAACUUGGUGCAAAAAUGAGGAAAAUUUUACAUUUUCUCAAACAGGGUAUGGAACAUGGUUCCUCGAAUAACUUCUGGCACAGACAUCUGAGGGCAUGGCCGUCCAAGAAGAAAAUGUAGCCAUUGGUGCCAUCUAUCGACCACAGGUUACAGAUUGGCGAUCCGUUGGAUACCGACCGAGUUAUAGGCAAAACUUGGUGC